rnacentral:rRNA from 1 species
CAGUAGCCGCGGGAAUACGGAGGGUGCAAGCGUUAUCCGGAUUUAUUGGGUUUAAAGGGUCAGUAGGCGGACUUAUAAGUCAGUGGUGAAAGCCUGUCGCUUAACGAUAGAACUGCCAUUGAUACUGUAAGUCUUGAGUAUAUUUGAGGUAGCUGGAAUAAGUAGUGUAGCGGUGAAAUGCAUAGAUAUUACUUAGAACACCAAUUGCGAAGGCAGGUUACCAAGAUAUAACUGACGCUGAGGGACGAAAGCGUGGGUAGCGAACAGGAUUAGAUACCCCGGUAGUCCCUGUCUCUUAUAU